GCCUCAGCCUCUCAAAGCGCUGGAAUUACAGGUGAGAGCCACCACGCCCAGCCGGAGCCUGCAUUCUUAAAUGUCCCUGGAUGACUACGACGCAGGUUGGUCCAAAGACCCCUCUCUGGGAAGCACUGAAGACAGUGUGGUUGAUUUUCACAUUGGGAUCCUGACAAAGUAACCUGUACUAAAGUUAACACAGUAGAUAUGAGGCUUACACUGAGAAAGGGUCGCAAAUAAAGGGAGGUGACAUCAGAAUCCUAUUACGUACCGACAUUCCCCCCAUAAAGCCACAGAUUUGUAAUUCAUUCAUUCCUUUGCAGAUUCCGGGACCUCACAACCGACCUUACGGCAUUCGCCCAGUAGAUGGCGCUAGCUCAUUUUAAACCCCGUUUGUAGACGGUGCCUGAAAGCUCAAGACAGAGGGAGCAGCAGAUGCAGAGAAAGGGCAAGACAGAGCCCAUUAUGAGAGAGGACAGCCACAAACAGAAAUGGUCAACACUAAGCAGCUGUCCCGAAAUGACGCAGAGGAAACUUAAACCCUCUUAGGGUGUAGUGUGUAAUCUGGUGUGUUGGCCCGACUGCCACAUUGGCUUUCAAAAUCCCUGCUGCCUCCCAAGCCUGGGUUCUGGCUGCGGCUCGGAGUUUGGGAGCUUAGAUCUAGGACAGCGCCAUAACCAGUAAUGACCACAAGAUGGCGCUGCUGCACUCAGGGACAAGAUGCCUGAGAAAAAUCUCAAUCUCAUAAAACCAUCUAAAGGAUAAAGAGUGUGGCUUAAAAUAGGAUCGUGGAGGGAGAUGAGAGGCAGAAAGAGAACUGCUGAUUAGACUUGCACCCUGUCUCUCAAGUUCAUGUUUACGAUAUUAGUACUAAUGCUGCUGCUGCUGCCACUGGUGGCUGCUGUUUACUCAGGGGCUACGGAGUGCCAGGCACUGUGAUAAGCACUUUCCGUGCAUGGUUUCAUUCAAAGUUCAUCAAAGCCCUAGCAGGGGAGUCCUACGAUGUCUCCACUUCUGAGAGGAAGCAUUAUUUGGGGAACUAGAGACUGAGACGUCUUGUGCUUUCUCAAAAGAAAUGGGGACAGUAAUCUAAUUCUGAGCACACUGACAAUAGACAGUGGGGCUUCCACGAAUAAAAGGCUGAAACAGCCUGGACAACAUAGCGAGAGCCCCCUCUCUACAAAAAUGUAAAAAGCCAGCUGGGCAUGGUGGUGUGCACCUGCAGUCCCAACUACUGAGGAGGCUGAGGCGGGAGGUUUGUGCCAGGCACUGAUCAAGGUGGUAAGGAAAGACAAUUAAAGGGACUAGGGGAGGUCCUGAGGAGCCCACGAUAAGCCAUGCAGCCAGGGGAUCAGUGCUGUGGAGAAAAUGAAGCGCACAGGAGUCUAUAUGUGCCUGUAGGUGUGUUUGAGAUGAUGGCAGAAGUAAACUGGAGCUGGCAUCCAUGGCUCACAAGAGCCCAUUAUUAAAUUUUCAGGAAUUUUGCGAGUCAGUUCUUGGAUGGAUCUAUUAUUGAAUUAUUAAGCUAACAAAGUAUAUAAACUUACAAAUUAUAUAAACUUAAAAUGAAAUUAUACUUAAAAUAAAGGUAACAAAUACUCGCAACUCAUUACUUCCUAAUUAUUUUAUAUUUUACCAUUUUCUGUGCCAAAGGUAAGCAAACUGUUUCUGGGAAGGGCCAUUUAAUGACUGCGUGAGCCAUAAGGGUUCAGUCAAAACUAUUUGACUCAGCCAUUGUAGCACAAAAGCAUUGAUAAUAUAGACUGAGCAUCUCUAAUCUGAAAAAUCUUAAAUGCUCCCUAAUCCAAAUAUCUGAAAUGCUCCAAAAUCCAAAACUUCUUGAGCACCAACAUGACACUCAAAGGAAAUGCUCAUUGGGGCAUUUUGGAUUUUGGAUUUCUGGGUUAGGGCUGCUCAUCUGGUACUGCAAAUAUUCCCAAAUCCAAAAACAUCUGAAACCUGAAACACUUCUGGUCUCAAACAUUUCAGAUAAGGGAUAUUCAACCUGUACUUAGAUAAAUGGUCAUGACUGUGUUCCAAUCAAAUGUGAUUCACAAAAUCAGGUGCUGAGCUGGUUUGGUUCACGGGCUGCUGUUUGCCACCGUGGUUUUAUGUCUAUCGUAUCUGUAUGGCGGAAAUGCUAUGUACUUGUGUUAAUCCUACUAUAUAAGUCUUCCCUAGUUCCUUGAAAGGUGUCAUUUUGGUAGCUUGCAAUUGGCCGUGGUGGGGGUAUUUAUACCACCAAAUCAGCAGAGGCUACAAACAGGGUUGCCCCUCAGCCCCCAAGAGCUGGUUGUUAAACAUUCCAGCACACCCCUGGCUAAUGUGGUCUGUGAAGGCCUCUUCAGGGAGGUGACCUCUGAACAGAAACCUGAAACCACACUUAGUCCUUCCAACCUGCAGAGGCCCAUCCCACCCCCAAUGGGCGACCUACAGGGCACAGUUCAGAAAUACAUCGGAACAAAACAGUCUGAAGUUUACAGAGAUGGCCGGACCCAACAAAACGCACAUUUGUUUAAAACACAGUAUAUUCCAGUGUCAUCACCCCACCACGCACUAACCCAGGAGCAGCCUCGCCUCCCUGGAGCCAAUAAGAAGGCACAGCGAAGAAGCCACUCAUCAUGGCCUGAGGCCUGACUGCAUUUACUACAGGCUGCUGAGUCUUGCCUGCCACCAAAUAGAACCUGCAAGGCAAGGCCUGAGGGGUCGCUUCCAAAGUCUGCUAAAGUUGGGGAGGACUGGAGGAGAGGGACUCAGGGAGGCAUCCGUGGUACAGUCAACUUCCUCACCAACUCUUCAAACCCCAGUGUAACUUCAAACUACUUAGUUUGGAAAAGGCCAUAUUAGGUGUUUAAACAGAUUUGUGUGUUAGUUGUAAGGUGAUUUCAUACACGGAAUUUAAAGGUUUUCAUUAACUCCUAGUAAAGUGGUACAGUCAAAAGAGUGGACGCAACUUGCAAAUUUCAGUCGCGCUUUUGUAAUAAGGGUCAGUCUGCUGGGAGAAUUACACUAUUCUUAUAAUAUCCAUUUCAGUCUUCACUCCCCUAAUUACUCUCAUUAGACCUCAGAAUCUACCUCCUCUCCAAUAAAUCCACACUCCAAGCAGUCUACUGAAGCUGGCAGCCCACAGAGACCUGACUGCCCACAGUUCAGUGCAAAGACAGGCUUGAAAGCUUGCCCCAAAACAGUCCCUCCCCAAGAUUUCUCCUGCCUUCUUUCUUCCCUAAUCAACUUGGUGAGCUCUCUCCUUUCUUUUUAUACAUCUGAGGCUUAUCUCUGAAAUAUUUCCUAAACAAAGAGAUUAGCGUCAUCAUCAUGCCCAUUUAAGGACAUCUUUUAAGUCCUCUUCACAAAUAGUGUAAUUUUCAUCCUACUUCUAAAUUCUCUCUCCUGCCUCUGGAACACAUUCCCCAUAUAUUCCCUGAGUUCUUCCUCAAGGGACUGGGCUGGUAGCUUUACAAUAAAUUUUCUACUUUCCCUUAGGAGCUCGUUCAUGUCCACAUUCUCUUUCUGCAGGGCAGAAUGUUCCACCAGGGAAUGCCAAGUUGAUUCUGUCUCCCUCAGAAAACUCCAUUCCUCCUGACAACUGGUUCCCAAUCCUGGUUGCACAGUCACAAGGAGUGGGGACUAUGAAAAAGUGUGCCAACCCUUGAAUCUGACAAGGAAGAUCAGUGAUGUCAUAACAGCAUUGUUUGGAUAUCAGCAUGCAUAUCCACCCAUGGGGUUCUGAAACAGAAAUGCAUAAGGAGCUUUGACAAGGACCCACUGUCUGGCCCCAUCUUCAGAGAUUCCAAUAGGUCUGGGGUGUGCACAGGCACUGGCGUCUUUAAAAUCUCCCUGUGUGAAUUCAACAUGCAACCAGGAUUGAAUGGAGAACUGCUGCUCGAAGUUUGAUAAUGAGGUGAUAAUGAGGAAGAACAUGCCUCAGCAAGUCAGAAAAAGGGGCUUAGGGGAGGGCCAGUGGCUCCUCCUUCGGCCAGGCCAGCUUUCUUCUGACAAGGACUUGUUUUCACAACUGUCCAGAUCCGCAGAUGGGCACAAGAUGAUGGAAUGAAGCAGCGGGGGACAACUUCUGGCUGGAGUGGCUUGGAGGCUGGAGCAGCUGAGCUUUAACAAGCAUCAGAGGUCAGAAUUACUUGGCUAGAUCAAGAAGCCACACAGCAUCAUAAUGCCGCUGGCACAUCUCCCAGAACAGGGUACCAGGACCCCUGUGAAGAUACCCAUGGUUCAAUCAUCAGGACCUACAGAUCCUUCCAUGUUAAGGACAACACCAAUAAUACUGAGAAAGCAAACGGCAGAUUGGCAGUGUUAAAGGAUAACAACGUGCCAACAGAAUAUUAAGAAAGAAAACUUCUUUGCAAAAGUUGAUAGAGAGACUACAAAUAUCAGUCAAAUUACAAACAGACAACAGAGGACAGCAUUUGGAAACGACUUCCCGAGGCAAGCACUAUUCAGUGCCCCACUUCCCUCUCCCCAUGCCCCUUUGCAAAGAUCUAUUACAUUAAUAAAUUUCUUUAAAUGCUAAAA
rnacentral:lncRNA from 1 species